GUGAAUCAUCGAAUCUUUGAACGCACAUUGCGCCCCCUGGUAUUCCGGGGGGCAUGCCUGUUCGAGCGUCAUUAUGACCAAUCCCGGAAGGGGUCUUGGGGUCCGCAGUUCGCUGCGGCUCUUAAAAUCAGUGGCAGUGCCAGCGGUGCUCCCAGCGUAGUAAUUACUCCUCGCUUGGGAACUACAGUGGUUGCUCGCCAGCAACUUUUUUCAAAAGGUUGACCUCGGAUCAGGUAGGGAUACCCGCUGAACUUAAGCAUAUCAAUAAGCGGAGGA
rnacentral:misc_RNA from 1 species